rnacentral:rRNA from 1 species
GACGUAGGGGGCCAGCGUUGCUCGGAAUUACUGGGCGUAAAGGGUUCGUAGGCGGUGCGGCAAGUUGGGAGUGAAAUCUCUGGGCUUAACCCAGAGGCUGCUUCCAAAACUGCCGCGCUUGAGUACGGGAGAGGCGAGUGGAAUUGCAGGUGUAGCGGUGAAAUGCGUAGAUAUCUGCAGGAACACCCGUGGCGAAAGCGGCUCGCUGGACCGUAACUGACGCUGAGGAACGAAAGCUAGGGGAGCAAACAGG